rnacentral:rRNA from 1 species
UACGAAGGGGGCUAGCGUUGCUCGGAAUCACUGGGCGUAAAGGGUGCGUAGGCGGGUCUUUAAGUCAGGGGUGAAAUCCUGGAGCUCAACUCCAGAACUGCCUUUGAUACUGAGGAUCUUGAGUUCGGGAGAGGUAAGUGGAACUGCGAGUGUAGAGGUGAAAUUCGUAGAUAUUCGCAAGAACACCAGUGGCGAAGGCGGCUCACUGGCCCGAUACUGACGCUGAGGCACGAAAGCGUGGGGAGCAAACAGGG